rnacentral:tRNA from 1 species
GCCUUCGUGGUGUAGUGGUCAGCAUGCUCGGAGCGUAUUCGAUUGAUCCGUGGUUCGAGUCCCGGCGAGGGCA